AGUGAACGCUGGCGGUAGGCCUAACACAUGCAAGUCGAACGGCAGCACAGUAGGAGCUUGAUAUUACGGGUGGCGAGUGGCGGACGGGUGAGGAAUACACCGGACUCUACUUUUACGGGGGGGUUAACGUAGGGAAACUUACGCAAAUACCGCAUACAACCUACGGUUGAAAGCAUGGAUUAUUCGGACCUUGCGCGAUUGAAUGAGCCGACGUGGGGUUAGCGAGUUGGUGGGGUGAAGGCCCACCACGGCAACGAUACGUAGCUGUUCUGAGAGGAGGACAAGCCCAACUGGAACUGAGACACGGUACAGACUCCUACGGUAGGCAGCAGUGGGGAAAAGUGGACAAUGCGCUCAAGCCUGCUCCAGCCAUGCCGCGUCGGUGAAGAAAGCCUUGGGGUUGGAAAGGCCUUCUGUUGGGAAAGAAGACCAGCAGGUUAAAUUCCCGCUGUGCUGACGGUACCCAAAGAAUAAGCACCGGCUAACUUCGUG
rnacentral:rRNA from 1 species